GCGGAUGUGGUGAAAUAGGCAGACACGAUAGUCCUAGGAACUAUUGCUUUAGCGUGCAGGUUCGAUCCCUGUCAUCCGCACCA
rnacentral:tRNA from 1 species